CCAGAGAACUCGCACAAAGGCCCCUCUGUGCAGAGACAGUGCAGCCUCCAGCUCUCAGAGCGCAAGCCUUGGCAGGGCUCAGCAAGCGCACGUGGUUUCUGGGUUGUGCUCUGGGCGACAGCUCCGCCCUGAACUUGCUGAGGAGGCAGAAGGGCUGUGAGGCUGGGUUUCCAUUCCUGGUUCUCUGCGCUGUCAGUGGGCACUUGUUAUUUCCCAGAGCCUUCUCCUGGUGGCCACGUGUUUGUUUAGAGAUGGCUCCAGCAGCCCCAGAGCUGCACAGCGCACCUUAGAUGUGGUAUUUAUUUUCUUAGUUCUGUGAACACCUGGGAGGGAAGGCAGAGAAACUGGGAUUUAUUUUUCAAAUUGAUGUCAUAAUAUUGUGUAAAAAGGGAAGAGAAAAAAAAAACCACCCCCAGCUUCUUUCUUUUUCAAGCCAAAGUGUGUUUCCUGUUUGAGUUCCAGGCCCUGGUGGCAGACUAUUCCUGAAGGCAGAGAAAAUGGGAGGGAAGGACUGAGCUCCUAGCUCGGGAACCAGGAGACAAAUCAUCGGGAGGUUUCCUUCUGCUUCUUUGCACUUACCACUCCCAGAGUGUGACCCGAAGGCCCUUCUGACAGUGUUACAUGUGUGCAUAUUUAUAUGUAGCAUAUAUAUUUAAAUAUAUACAUACAAAUAUUUAUUUACUAAUGGACUCCUCCUGAUUGGAAAAACACAUAGGUAGGACAGGGGUAGAAAAUGAAAGCAGAAAGGUCCUCUUGCCCGCAUUCCACUAUUUUAUUAUCAAGGCACAUUUCCCUGUGAAAGAGAGGCUGGGCAGGAUUACUCUCCCAUUUGUACGAUGAGAUGACCGAGGCUCUGAGAAUUCAGAGAUUUGUCUAUAGUGUUUUGGCUGACGUGGUUUGAGCGCAGGAGCACUAGGAAGAAAUGUAAUAGAAAAGAAUCCACAUGUCUUGGAAUAGGGUCACUUUUGCCCACUGAGAAGUCACUCCACUUGACCCAGGUGAGAACAACCGUACAGCUCAUGCGUGGAUCGGACCGGCCCAGGCAAGAAGGCAAGGGCCUCAUGAUGUUUCCCAGAGUUCCCUCUGGCCUAAACUGGAAAGGGGUCGGAGUGGGGGGGAAGGCACUAGCCAGAUCACCCAGGUGAACUCUCCACGUGUCACCUCGUCGUGGUCAUCCUGUCUUAAUUUGGAGAGAAGCACACUGAGGACCAAGGCACCGUCUGCGAGGUACUGCCGACUAGAACGGAGGGGCAUCAGAGCUCAAGGGGCUUCAUUCACCUGGGGCUAGCAUUCCCCCCUUUUCCCAAGGGCAAGUCUCUGCAGAGCUUCCCUGGUAAAAAAGCAACAUUUGCCUUGGCCCCUCUGCUCACGUGGGCCUCCGUCCCUUUCUGAGAUUCCUCAGGAAGAAACCUGGGCCCACUUGACCUUGCUCCACGAAGCUGCCUCUGGUCUCCUUGCAUUGGUCAGGACGUUUUGGACGGGAAGGAAUACUAAGAUGGUGGACGAGCCAAGCCUAACUUCGAAGGAUACAGCCCCCUAGGACCAAGACCAAGGACCACUCUGCUCACCGUACCAGUGCAGAAUGUGGGGCCAGGGGAAACCAGGCCAACUGAAGAAUACCCUUAACGAUGGGAUCCUCGGUGAUGGGACGAACGAGCUCCAGAAUAACUACAGAUGGCAAGAGGCAGCCAAGCCGACUAAGAGAAGAGGUUUCGCAGCGAGUUGCCGGCCCGGCUUGCGGCACAGCUGUCCCCUCCCGUAGGGUGGGGAGAAGCAGCCUUUUGUGUUUUUCUGUAUCAUCGACCUCAACAUGCAAAAACAAGUAUGAAACGUCUACCUUGGGAAGUCUGGCCAGUGCGCCACAGAGGCUGCUGCGGACCGGAGUCUUCUACACAUGCGUCCUCUGACGGAAGGAGGGAUACAGUCCCCCCGGGGAAAAAAGAGCAACACAGGGCGUGGCUACAGAUCUGUCCCAGCCACGUGGCCUUGGACGUGGCCUUUAGCCUCCUGGGCCCUCUCUCUCUGUCAAGCAAGGGGCCUCUAAAGACCUUGCUGCUUCUUCAAUCUUGCCUUCACCUGGGGUAACUGUGGUGGCCAUAGGAGAGGAAGCAGGGUCCUUGUCGUCAUGGGUGUCCCACCAGACCCAAGGCUUCCCCAUCCCUGCCGAGCCAGGAGGGCUUCUUCUACCCCUCAGCCAAAAGUCUACUUUCCUUCCCUCUUGAGGAUCGAUCAUGCUCAGAAAUCAGCUGACUUAGGGGAGACGACAUGGAUAAAACACUACAAGGAAACUCUUUGAUGAGCCGUUCACUUAUGCACACACACACACACACAUACACACACACACCGUCAAAUGGAAGCAUUUCCUCUUCUGUGUAUCAAACCUCUCUUGUCGUUGUUAAGUGAGUGUGUUGGGAGAGCAUUCAGUUCCACAGCUGAAAAGGA